UUACUACUCCCUCCGUCCGAAAAAACUUAUCAAAAUGGACAAAAAGGGGUGUAUCUAGAACUAAAAUACAUCUAAAUACAUUUCUUUUUAUUCAUUUUGAUGACAAGUAUUUCCGGACGGAGGAAGUACUAA
rfam:Triticum urartu cultivar G1812 contig712953, whole genome shotgun sequence.